rnacentral:lncRNA from 1 species
CGCGGACGGACACUGCAAAUAACACGUGGGUGCAGUGGCACACGUACAUGUGCACGUUUAGUGAUGGUAUACUGAAAUCAUCAUGGUGGUCGCUUCAAUCCGCUUUUUCGCGACUCUGUGUAUCAUCUGAACAUGAAGACGUAAGAAAUAAGUCUCCGGGGGUCUGAGGAAUCGCUGGCACACCUACGUGAUAUGGAUGACUUAACUACAGAUCUUUGCCCAACUCUGGCAUGUCUGGAAGUGGAACCGAUGAGGAACAAGACUCCAUGUGGCUCAAAAACAUUGGUCUGGCGAAACAUGGCAAUGUACAUACACUGUAUAUACUCAUCUGUGUGUGAAGUUGCCAACUUGGUCUGGAAUAAACUCGCUCCGAGUCAACUCCAUCUCAGGUCAAUUGUCAACUCUGGAAGGCAGGCACAUGGCUCCAGCAUGAAUAAAAAUCUUCCAAGCUAGUUUUGACGCACUUUAGCAUACCUGUAUUAAAGUACUUAUAUGUUCAUGUAAAUUUACUGACAUGUGCAUGAGAUGCUUGGCCUUGUAAUUUGGGAAGGCCAGGCACUUGGACGCAUUGUUAACUACCACAGAUGAGAAGGCAAAAUCCCAGUCUUUCUUGCCAGAUUGUCAAACUUUGGCAUGUAAGUAUUUUUAGAAUUCUAACGUUGCAUGUACACUAUAUUUACACAUAUAGGGCGCUUGCACAGCCGUCAGGGUCACGGGCCUGUUGCUCCGGAAUGUCUUCUCAGCCACUCAGUGCGCUUCAUGGAAACGCAUACCAGUUUAUGCAUAUGUACUCAUGUGCAUACUGCACUUAUGUUCGCCAUGGCUGCUACCAAAGCUCCACAAAAUUCGGCUCCUGCUUCGAAUAUUGAGUUGUCAAAGUACGUAACCAAUUUAUCACCAGAAGAAUGUGCCCGUUAUAUAAGAAAGAUCUCCAUGGUUGGUAGUGACCCAUAUGUGGUCGCUAACAGUGAUAAAUUAUGCGACAUCAAUUGACUUCCACAGAUCAAUUCAAUGGACAUAAUGUCCUAUUUGAUAUCAACACUGAGUCCAUAUACCGUGUACAAGUCUUCGGAGGCGUAUAAUCAGUUUGCCAAUGGUUGGCUGUUUAACACCAGUGUAUGUACCUCACCAAAACAACCAGAUCUUCAAGUGGUGUUUGGAUGAGUGAUGCAUUCACAGUCCAUAAGAGAGAAGGCAUUGUCACCCUUGGUCAUAGCUACAGAUGGCCAGAUACGUUGUACCCACUGUGACUGCAAAGCUGGAAUCGUUGAAGUAUGCGCACAUGCCAUAACACUUCUUUUCGGGAUAGAUUCAGGAGUUCAUAUUCACGAGAAAAAGAGUCACGCAAGUGAAGGCCUGUUGGAUGGCACCGUCCAAGAAGGAUGUUAUAGCUGCCCCUGGAUAAAGUAAGGUGGAAUUCUCUUCAGCAGCCAAACGUAAAAGGAAAAUGGAUGCGACUGUUGAUGGUGCAGGGGAUAAUUUGAAGGAUGUUGGACGUGAGAAUUGGGAGACAUCCUCAGCUUCAAGCUCGGCAUCAUCGUUACCAGAAGACCAGGAGCUUAGUGACCUUGUAUGAGGACUUGAAUUGACUGGUAGAAAGUCUGCCGUAUUGAGUGCAGUGGACUCUUUUGCAAAUAGCUCUAUUUCUGCAGAGACUGUGAAAGAAUUUCCAGUGACACUGUCAGAUUUUAAAGAUGCCAACACAUUUAAUCUGGCUUACACAGAGCUGUUGGAGAAAUUUGAAAAUAUAAAAUAUGAUGUAACUCCAGAGGCUGCAAGGAAUUUCAAGGCCCACACAAAAACACAAGCUAAAUCAACCCUGUGGUGGAGAUACCGAGCAGGAAGAAUUACUGCAUCAAAGAUGAAAAGUGUGUGCAGGACAGAUGCAGGUUAUCCUGCAGUAAGCCUUCUUAAAUCUGUGUGUUACCCUGAUCUGUACAAGUUCACCACGGAAGCAACUCAGUGGGGAUGUGAGCAUGAAGAGCAUGCGAGAAUCUGUAUGCAGACUACAUGAAGACAAAACAUGUAGGGUUUCAUGUGGAAAACUCUGGUCUAAUUAUAAACCCAAAGUAUCCAUACUUUGGUGCAUUGCCGGAUGGCCUUGUAUGGUGUUCAUGCUGCAGAGAAAUUGGUGUUUGUGAAAUAAAGUGCCCCUUUUGUAAAAUGAACAAGUCCAUUAAAGAGGUUGCAGAGGAAAAAACAUUUUGCAUUCAACCAGUGGGUGCCAAACUUUGUCUCUCCAGAGAGCAUCAGUGCUACUAUCCGGUUCAGACACAGAUCUUCAUCUCUGAGAGGCCAUACUGUGACUUUGUCUUGUGGACCAAAGAGGAUGUUCACAUUGAACAUGUUCUUGGUGAUGAUGCUUUCUAAGCAAACAUUGUUUUAGCAGCAACCAAGAUUGGAGUCUUACCAGCACUUGGGGGCAAGUACAUAUUCACCAAGCUACCACAGGAUCUGACCAAGCAUCACAUGGAAACUAAUGAUGCUUCUGAGAAGUGGUGUUAUUGUUGCCAGGGCAAGAGAGGACGGAUGAUUCUGUUUGACAAUGCUACAUGCCAACAGUUUCAUUUCAAAUGCUUGAGUUCAAAGGAAUGUUUCAAAGAAAAAGAAGUACUCUCCAUCUGUAGAAAUCUGGUGGACUUAGGUCUGAACAAAGUGUGUGCUUACUUCAACACAGACUUUCUUGUUUACCUUAGAUCAAGUUUUUCUCUUUUAUCAUGGUACACAGGAAAUUGACAUUCAAGAAUACUAACAAGUCACCUGACCAGUACUUGGACCAGUGUGCAUGCAUUCCAUUUUAUAUACAACCAGUGUGUUGGCCCGUGUUUGUCUAGUAAGGUUGAGUAAUGUCAACUUUUGACAUGUUCCAUUCAAAACUUGAAAAGGGAAUAAAUGUAAAUUUCACAUUUAAAUAAAAAGAUGAUAUAUUUUGUAUUAAGAAUUUCAGAUGGGGGUUUUCAUAUUCUGGACAAACAUUUCAGACUUAGAAAAACUUGUUUAUAUGAUUCAGACUUUCAUUCGAAUCCACAAAUCUUGAUUUACAUGUAUUCCUAAGUGACAAAUCUGCAGCCUGUAAGUCAUGUACAUGUGGAUUGAUUCUGUGCUACAUGUAGGCCUAUGUUACAGAGCUAAAGUCAAAGUUUAAUAAUACAAUAAGAGACUGGAAGAUUUGGGUCUUGGUUUAUUGCAGUGUAACUACAUGUGUGUGUCCAUUAGGUCAAAACAUCUACACAAUCUGUCAAAACCUGCAAUAAAGAGUCUCAUUUUGAUGUUCUGAUUCAAAAUACAGUAUGUUUGUGUUGCACAUUCUUUGGCUACAAGUUUAAUUAACAGGCACAUUUAUAACUGUCAACUUUUCCUAGUUCUCUGUUAUCAAGUUAAAUUGGGUUUUGCACAGGACUUGUUUGAAAGUGAGGCCAAAAUUGGGCUACAUUUCAGGCAAUUAAUUUUAAGCCAACAUCUUUAAGCCUUCAUUGAAAAGAACAUAUUGCCCUUAUAACUCCUUCAGAGGGGUAAAUUUGAAAAAUGGCAGUUGAAAAGGAAUUGGUUACUUGCAGUGAUGAAAUUACGUGAAAAUUUGAUUCACUUGUAUGUCGCCGUCUAAUAUGAGUGACUCAUUCAUAUUGAAUAAAGCACAGCAAAUUCUGGCUAUUUUAUCUGUUUUUGGAACAGGAUUGUCUGAAUAUUCACCGUAAAUACUACUGGCACUGGGUGACUUAAUAUGUUACAUUUUUGUCAUCCCACCAAUGAUUUGCUCCACAUGAAUACAUAAGUGAGCUAUCUCUCAUGGUUUUUUCACAUCUAGAGCAUAGAGAUGUGGUUUCCCUUCCAUAAAUGUGGGUAUCUCAGCCUCACAUCCAUAGUAACCAGCAUCGUCCUUUAUAUCAAAAACUCUGGCUGCAAAAAUGAUGUCUUGCAGAAGAAGUUUCCUUAAGAAAUUAGACUCUAGUGUUAUGGUUUUGUCUGUUCCUCUGCCACCCCAUGCUGCUGACAAGAACAAAAUCACACCCUGAGGGGUUAUCCCAAUUAAAAACUUGAUUGUGCUGUGGUGGUUAUAAUUGGACCAGGUUUGGGCCCUGGCUUCCAAGCUGGUAGGCCAGUUAUAAAACACUUCAAAACAAUCAAUAAUUACAGCAACUCUUUUGCCAAAUGUCCGAUAGAAUUGCAUAGGCAUGGUUUUCCUCAAAACCUUCCUAUCUAUCCGAGUUGAUAAACCAUAUUGAGCAUCUAUCCUACUGAAAAUAGGUAAAAUUGUAGACUCGCUAACAAAGAACCGGUAUGCUAGGUCUUCGUGAGGCAUGGUUUGUCUGAGUUUCAUGAGAAUGAUUAGGAGUUGUUGAAACUGGGUGACACAUCGUCUAGUGGGCAGCUUGCUUGUAACAUAAUGAAAUGCAAGCAUUAAAACUGCAUAAGUGGGCAGGCCCGUAUGAAACUGUUUUGUCAUCGUUUACAAAACUUUCUUCACUUAGUUUUCCAUCUAGUCUUGUCUUCUUAAGUUCAGCAUUAUUGUAAUACUAGCUUGCGCAUCCAAAACCGUGACAUCAGCUGCAAACAUAUCAGUCUGCAUUGCCAUUUAUGUUGUCAUGCAGUCAGUUUGUGUGGUCUGUUCUACAGGACCGUGAUCUGCCAACUCAUUUGGAUCUUACCGGAGUUAGUCUUGUAGGUUCAGAAGUCCUUGCACUGCACAUAUCUGUGACUUCUGACCGUCUCGUCACGCUGCUCUCUCAUGUCUCUUUUGAGUGAGCUGCACUGAUGCAGUAGCCACUGCCUUGCCAUCAUGAUCCAUCUUCCGUGUGGGAGCCCAGUCAGAAUUGGUUUCAUCCCUCAACUCUGCAGGCUUUCCUAAAUGUAAAAGGGAAAAUGACACCAAACAAUAAGGGAAUAGACACCAGCCUUUUCAACUUCUAUCUUAUCUUCAGGAUUUACAAUGAACCUCAAACCACUUUUGUGAACUUGAUUUUGAAAGUAUGACGUUUAAAAGGGAUGGUGUACAGGAAAUGUUUAGGGGUUGGGCCAUGUAGGGUUAAAUUGACGUUAUAUGAUAGUUUUCAACCAUCUUAUAUACAAUAAGUUGGAUUAACCCCUC